GGGGUUGUAUCUCAGUGGUAGAGAGCCCGCUUCGCAUGCGGGAGGCCCAGGGUUCAAUCCCCUGCAACUCCA